ACAAGUCAGGUUCUUGGGACCU
rnacentral:miRNA from 1 species